AUGGAGGCGCAGCCGCCGGAGAUCGACGCGCCGGCGACCGCCUUUUGGUCCUUGUCCUCGUCCUCUUCGCCGACGGCUAAGAGAACUCGUUAUGCCUCUGCCUCCUCCAUCUUUGCCGCAUCCAGGCCGUGUGGAUGGGCAGAGCUCCCGGAAGAUUUUCUCCAAUCAUUAGUCGCUCGCCUCGGCUCCUUCCACGACCUCCUCGCCUUCGGUGCCACCUGUCGUCCUUGGCGUGAUCUAUUGUCAGCACGCACGCCCUCUUUGCAGCCUCUCCUCCUACACCCGAGUACCGAGAGCCAACGAUCUCCCUGGUAUCACCAAUGGAUCGUUUUCCAGGAAUGCACGUGGAAAUUGUCUGAUCCGUGGAGAUUGGAUAAUUCAGUUGCCGCCUCAUCCUGGCACAGUUUGCUUUCCUUGAGUGACCUCAGAAGAAUGUUCUUUCUGCGCUGCUCCUACGGUCACCUCAUCUUCUGCGACGAAGAUGGGUUCUACAUUGUUAAUGCGUUCAGUGGUGCUAAGGUUGUGCCUCCUCGCCUCAAGUCAGGUAACUUCACCCGCGUUAACUAUGUCACCUUGACUGCCCCUGUUGCAUCUGCGGACUCGCAUCUCCUUGUCGGCAGUGGAGUCUAUCUGUUCCAGUGGCGCAUCGGGAGCGACUCUUGGUCAGAACACUGUCCUAAAGUUCUUCUUCUUAAGAUUGAACAAAUGGUGGCCUUCAAGGGCAAAACAUACGCCCUAGGGUCUUUUGGGUCCUUCUGCAUCGUACACUUGUCACCUAGUCUCAUAAUUCAGAAGUUUAAACUUGUGUUUGAGGAAGAUAGAACCGAAGAUCUCUAUUGGACAAAUCAAAAAACAUGGCUUGUGGCGUGCGGCGAUGCACUUCUUUUGAUCAAACUUGAGGCAGGAAGGAAGAUAUGCUCGGAGGUUGAGCCCGUCCAGUUCAAGGCCUUCAAACUCGAGUCACUUGAUGCCGUGAACAGGAAGGCAAGGUGCGUGAAGUUGGACAGGUUGGAUAACUGGGCCAUCUUUGUCAGUGCCGACGUGCGAUGCGAGGCGUUGCCAUGCAUGAACCCGGAGAGAUGGCGAGGGAAAAGCAACCACAUAUACUUCCCAUGUUAUCAGUCUCAACAGCCAUGGGCUGCAGUCAAACUGUGGAAAAAAUAUAACGACCUUGCGAGAUGUUUGCAGCUCGUGAAUACUGGAAUUCAGUUCCAUAGAUUGGAGUCAACCUGGAUCCUUCCCGGCACAUUUCCUCGCUCUGGUAUGGCAAUUGAGGAUGCGACCGGUGAUUAG
rnacentral:rRNA from 1 species